CCCAAGAGAAGAGCACUCCACAUCACUCUGCAAGAUGACCCCGAGACGCUCCGCCGAGACGGAGACCGGCUGCUCCCGUUUUCAUCUUCGUCCUUGUUGGUGUGCAUCGCCGGGUGGCCGCACUGGUGCUAGGGUCCACUAGGAACUGGUUUUAUUUACUGUCAAGUGUCCUUUAAUUUUCUCAUGAAGAACUCUCUCUAGUAUUUCUUAUAAGAGUUCUUGGGACAGACUGCUUGGGUUUAAACGCCAUCUCCACCACUUCUUUAGCUGUGUGACUUUGGAUAUUAACCAAAUCUACCUUUCCUAAAGGUCAGGCCUCCCUGGCUGGCCAGCCCUCUGGUCACAUCAGAAGACCCACAGCUCUCUCACACUCUAUUCCAUAUCCCAGUUGGAUACAGGUUGAAUAAAAAUGUGCUUUCUGGCCCUCACACUUAGUUUAUGUGAGUGAAUGCUGAUGGAAAUGGAGAGAGAGCACGAAAGAAAUAUCGAUGAGAGAAACACCGAUGGGAGAG